AACGUAGGACGCAAGCGUUAUCCGGAGUUACUGGGCGUAAAGCGCGGGCAGGCGGCUCGAAACGUCUGAUGUGAAAUCUCCUCGCUCAACGGGGAGAGGCCAUUGGAAACGGUCGAGCUGGAGGGCAGUAGAGGUAGGCGGAAUUCCGGGUGGAGUGGUGAGAUGCGUAGAGAUCCGGAGGAACACCAGAGGCGAAGGCGGCCUACUGGGCUGCACCCGACGCUGAGCCGCGAAAGCCAGGGGAGCGAACGGG
rnacentral:rRNA from 1 species